UACCUGCUCUCAGUCCAUACAUGAGCAGCACAGUAUCUCCCAUUAAGUGCUAAUUAAAGGACUCGCACACGUCAGAAGUAUACAUGUGCUGCUUAAACCCACUUUAUCUUGCUAGCUCUAUACCAGUGCUUGAAAUAGGCAUUUCUUUCAAGUUCAAAAGGUUGAAAAAGCCAUAUCUUCGCUAGGUGUUUAUGGAAUAAUUAUAGCAGGUUGGUCUAGUAAGACGGGGGGCGGCCUGGACACGUCUCGACUUUGUGCACGUAGCCACAUAUGUACAUGAAUCAGUAU
rnacentral:lncRNA from 1 species